AGUGAACGCUGGCGGUAGGCCUAACACAUGCAAGUCGAACGGCAGCACAGGAGAGCUUGCUCUCUGGGUGGCGAGUGGCGGACGGGUGAGGAAUACAUCGGAAUCUACUCUGUCGUGGGGGAUAACGUAGGGAAACUUACGCUGAUACCGCAUACGACCUACGGGUGAAAGCAGGGGACCUUCGGGCCUUGCGCGAUUGAAUGAGCCGAUGUCGGAUUAGCUGGUUGGCGGGGUAAAGGCCCACCAAGGCGACGAUCCGUAGCUGGUCUGAGAGGAUGAGCAGCCACACUGGAACUGAGACACGGUCCAGACUCCUACGGGAGGCAGCAGUGGGGAAUAUUGGACAAUGGGCGCAAGCCUGAUCCAGCCAUACCGCGUGGGUGAAGAAGGCCUUCGGGUUGUAAAGCCCUUUUGUUGGGAAAGAAAUCCAGCUGGCUAAUACCCGGUUGGGAUGACGGUACCCAAAGAAUAAGCACCGGCUAACUUCGUGCCAGCAGCCGCCGUAA
rnacentral:rRNA from 1 species